rnacentral:rRNA from 1 species
GACGAACCGUACGAACGUUAUUCGGAAUCACUGGGCUUAAAGGGUGCGUAGGCGGCGCGACAAGUUGGGUGUGAAAUCCCUCGGCUCAACCGAGGAACUGCGCCCAAAACUGCUGUGCUCGAGGGAGACAGAGGUGAGCGGAACUUAGGGUGGAGCGGUGAAAUGCGUUGAUAUCCUAAGGAACACCGGUGGCGAAAGCGGCUCACUGGGUCUCUUCUGACGCUGAGGCACGAAAGCUAGGGGAGCAAACAGG